UACGUAGGGGGCAAGCGUUAAUCGGAAUUACUGGGCGUAAAGCGUGCGCAGGCGGUUUUGUAAGUCGGGCGGGAAAUCCCCGGGCUUAACCUGGGAAUGGCGAUGGAGACUGCAAGGCUAGAGUUUGGCAGAGGGGGGUAGAAUUCCACGUGUAGCAGUGAAAUGCGUAGAGAUGUGGAGGAACACCGAUGGCGAAGGCAGCCCCCUGGGUCAAAACUGACGCUCAUGCACGAAAGCGUGGGGAGCAAACAGG
rnacentral:rRNA from 1 species